rnacentral:rRNA from 1 species
UACGGGGGGGGUAAGCGUUGUUCGGAAUUACUGGGCGUAAAGGGCUCGUAGGCGGCCAACUAAGUCAUACGUGAAAUCCCUCAGCUUAACCGGGGAACUGCGUCUGAUACUGGAUGGCUUGAGUUUGGGAGAGGGACGCGGAAUUCCAGGUGUAGCGGUGAAAUGCGUAGAUAUCUGGAGGAACACCGGUGGCGAAGGCGGCGUCCUGGACCAACACUGACACUGAUGAGCGAAAGCCAGGGGAGCAAACCGGG